rnacentral:rRNA from 1 species
UACGUAGGUCUCGAGCGUUAUCCGGAUUUACUGGGCGUAAAGGGUCCGUAGCCUGUAUAAUAAGUCUGCUUUUUAAAAACCUGGGCUCAACCUAGGGGGAGGGGUAGAUACUGUUAUGCUAGAGAUAGGAGGGGUCGAGUAGAAUUUCCGGUGGAGGGGUGGAAUCCGUUGAUAUCGGAAGGAAUGCCGAAAGCGAAAGCAGCUGACUAUACCUAAUCUGACGGUAAAGGACGAAAGCUU